rnacentral:misc_RNA from 1 species
AAGGAGUAUCUCAGGAUUCCAAAAACUACGUCACGGUCCCAAAAUAUUGACGGACUAUUUUCUUGUCGCUUAAUCUGAUGUUCUAGUUUAUCUAAUAUGCUAUGAUUACAAUUUUAUAUACUAAUUUUAAAAUACAUGUAUUUUGAAAAAAAAGUUGAUUGUUUCAAUGACAAUUACCAAAUUAAGUAAAAGACGAUUUCGGGAACGGAAAGAAAACUUUGAGAGUUGAAGAGCGCCAGCAAAGCUAGAAACCAGGCAAAAACAGUGUGUGCCUUUAAACAAAGAUGUCUGUCGGAAAUGACGGGUUCACUAAUUGCAACUAUGUCUGCAACCCAGAAAAUGACAUGCCAUGGUCCUGUACUAAUUACUGUCCAGGGUAUGAUUUCACUACUUUAGCAUCGACAUUAUUGACCACAGCUGAGUCAGUUCAUGCAACUGGCACGGAAAGCGGAGAUGUACAGACGUACCGAGUGGUAUGCUUGUGCGUCGGUGCUGUUGUGUUAACCAUCGCAGUAAUCAUUUGCUGUCUCAAUAAAAAGCGGAUUUGCGCAUGUAUUAAAGGCUGUCGAGACAAACCAUUGCAGCUGCAAACACAAGUCCGAACUUCCGCUACUGACGCAGAAGCAGAUAGUGUGAGGCAUGACACGGGUGAAGACAACACAUUACUAUCAAUACAAAGCGAAAACAGUGGUAGUGGUGACGCCCCUGGAAAUUCCCGUGAUAUUGGCGGCUUUAUAUAGCCAGUAGUAUGGUGUUAUUUUUUGCAGAUGUUCCCUGUGUUGGCAAAACAUCAAAGCAACAGAAUUUAUUCAUGCCAGUGAACAACAUAUAUUCUUUUGUCACAGAAGCAGAUGUCAGCUUAAAGAUCAUACCUUUUGUGAAGAAAUAAAUUAUGUACCAUUCAGUAUUACCCACAACUGAUCUAAUUAUAUUGUUACAAGGUUCUGUUUUAAAGAAACCAUAUCAAAAUUACGGCUGCUCAGCCUGAUGUGAGUUUGCUUUUAUUUAUGUAUUACAUAUUCUACCCAUUUCGUUUUGCUUUAUUUCUCAUACCUUAUACAUGGUGGCCAACCUUGAAUGUCUGAGAUUUACCAAAUAACAUAACACUUCAACUGAAAUGAAAUUCAUUUCAUGACAUCUAUUCUGUUUUACAGGGUAGUCAACCCCACGUGACUUUUUGGAUCCGUACACGUGAGAAUAUCGCUCGAUUCCGGUUAAAGAUUUUUGCUAUAAUUUCCUUAUUACUUAACUGAUUUUAAUGAGAUAAAAAACCCGGCGAAUACAAAACUAAGUGUUUUCCUCCACAAAAUGUAUCCGCCAGACAUUCUCAAUACGUUCCUCAAACUUUUUGACCAUAUCACAAUUUGGACUUAACAAUUGGUCCAUGAAAGAAACAUUUGGAUGAAGGUUUUGAGACAAAUACUGAGAAUGUUUAACAGACGCUAUGUUCCGGGGAAGCACUCUCGUUGGGUUGGUCGCAUAGAUUUCAUUUUAGUUGUUUUUUUAUGAUGUUAUGAAACCUGUUAUCAUUAGAUCAUUUCUACAUCAAACAUGAAAACAAGCAAAAAAUUUCUAAAACAACAAUUCAUACGACUUAAUGCGUUUAUUAACCUAAAGAAAUAAGCCAUCGGCAAAAUCUUUACGCUUUUAGGCCUUUGUCAUGUUUAACUGUCACAGUGAAUAAAACCAUGAGUCCAUUAAUACCCAAACAAUAAUCACGCGAACGUACGUAUUUUAGAUGUAAUUAUGUGUUUCGAAACAUCGUUUUUGUUUAGGCCAUCCGCCUGCCCGCCCAUCGUGUCCGAAUUUUAUAUUUACCUCCCUUAUUCAUCAACCGACUCAAAAUCGAGACCGUACGGUGACAGGCAGUGCUUCAUGUCCAUUUCCGUUGAAGGGACGUGGCAGAUAGGUAAUUCAUGAACAAUCCACAAAAUGAGCAGAUAUUUGAUAUGUUACUUCCGACCAUGUUUUGAAACUUUAACUUAUAAUUUCAUUUUCUUCGGAAAGCGAUAAUAAUGUAUGUAACUCACGUUUGUGUUAGCGAUGAAAACUGUUCUUUUUUUUUCUUAUGUUUGCAACCGACAACAUAUAUAAAAUAAGUGAAACUGAUGGAAACCUUCAUUCAAAAUCUAUUUAAAGUAUAUCUUGGGGAAACUAAUUUCUUUAAAUAGUAUAUAAGAGAUAUAUUUAGAAUAAAGCAAUGCGCAGAAAUCUGAGGUGCGGCCAGGAUGCACACAUUAGAUAAUGCUCAUUUGACACGUCACAUGUAACCGUACUCAUUAUUAUUUUAGAUGUUGUGAUUAGUAUUUUAUUCAGUUUAUCUAAACCUGAAUAUCUUAAACAUCUAGACAUUGUGCGCUUUAUAAUAUUCCGUGCGGCAUGGUAAUGCAGACUUACAGUCGGACAAACCAACAGCUAGAAUAAACAUAUCUUUAGUACGUAACUUUUCAACUAAAAUACAACUAUUUAUCAGGUAUGUCUGUUGGGAGUGAUGGCUUUACCAACUGCAACGAGGUUUGCAACCCAAACAAUGAUAUGGCAUGGUCCUGCAAAGAAUACUGCAAAGGUAGAGAUGUUUCAUUUUCGUAGCUCCUUCAUCAACAGCACUGCCUGCAGAUCAAGAUGAAACGCACGUUGCUGUUUUGAUUGUACUUUCAUGUGUUGGAGGACUAUUGGUGGCAGUUAUAGUAAUGUGUAAUUGUUAUAGAAAUAAUAUUCGUACAUUCAUUCAGAGAUGCCGAAACAAACGACUGCCGUAUUCAACACAGGAAGCAUUGUUUGCAGUCAAUAUACAACAUAAAAACAGAGAAGUCCGUGCAGUGGAUGAUGGAACAGGCUUUCGGCCGAACCAAAAUGGAAAGGGAGGAGACGAUGCAAAUGGAAGAGCUGUGCUACAUGAGAUUUUUAGCGACAGCGGCAUAUCGUCGGAAAAUUCAUCAGUGCAUACCGUUGAUGAAACGACAGGACACGAAGACAAUCUUGAUGCGCAUAGCGGCAUUAUGCGGUAUAUCGGGGUGUCAGACUGUAGUAACAGUGACCAGCAACAUGAACUAAGUAACGAUGAUAAUUUUCCAGAUAUAAUUUCUCCGGAACGUGACACCAUUCUAACAAAAGAGGGAAUACAUCUUGCAACUGGUCAAAGGGCUGGCACAAGUUAUCUUGCAAAUGCUUGAACUCCCAACUAAACAAGAUAAUAAUAUCUGAUUUCAUUCAGAAUUUACACUCUGUCAAGAUCUCAAGUUUAGAUCUCAUUUACGGUAAUCUGUAACAAUACUAGUUACUGUAUUGUAAUGAGUACUACCUUUGAAACUGCUGAUAAUCAUGACGAUGGGUUAUGUUGAUUAGGGUUCUGAUUUAGAGGGUCAUGGAGACGUGGCAAACUUCAUAAAUACUGUUAUAUAGUGAAACAAUAUACUAUAGAAAUUAAUGUAGAUAUUGUCAACAUUCACUGUCGAUUAUGCUUGUGAUUGAUAGCGAGGGAAUAGGUAGAGGGCGAAAUAAAACUUACCGAGGACCGAUCAAAGGCGUGACGACUGAUAACUCCUUCUUUUUCACUGACACUUCUAUGCUUGACAUAUACAAUUAUAUGAAACUAUUUAGGAAUGUAAGUGUGCAGUUGUUAAGAACGAUGAAUUCGGGCUCAUUUUAAUAUUGAGGCUUGACCUUUUGCAGUCUAAAUACCAAUGCUCACAGCAGAAAUUUAGUGUAAUCUUGGAGCAAGUGACAGCAUUGUCAGACUUUAUCUUGUUUUUACUUUGAUUUUAAUACCUGUAAGGUAUGUCCAUGUUUAAGUUGUGUUUCAUACUAUAUGAAUUGUUUUAAAGUUACAUCAUUUAUACCAGAUCUCACCAUAGUCUUUCAUCAGCGAGUAUUAAAUUCAAUUUAAAAGAGGGCUGUAGCCGUGCUAAUUUUGAUUCAAGUGUUCUUUAAUUGCUCAAUAAACAUACUGUGAUUCACAACAAUGUCCAGUUUCAAAUAACAUUUACAGUUGAAUUGUAUAGCAAUAAAAGCUUUUUUGUUGAGUUUAGGGAUUUUAGAAAUUAUAUAUUAGUAUUGUUCUGAAAUUAUGCUGAAAUUGCGCUGAAACUGUACCGUAUACCUGUGCGUAAUAAUAUAAGAAGUAGUUAGUUUAUGCGCACAUGUAUAGUGGAGAUAUCUGCUAUUUGUUUUUCGAUUUUAUAUGGUUAUCGUGGAUGUGAAACAUAGUUUUCACAUGAUUUAAUACUUACGCCUUUAAGAUAUAUAUUCAUAGUAACACAGUGGAAAUCCCGCAUAUAAUUUUAGAAUAAUCCUAUGUUUAUUUAAAGCAAUGAGUGUCUCAGGAUUCCGCAAAAUCAUUCGGGCACAGAAUAGUUUAUUGUGUGCUAAUGAUUUAACUUAUACAUAAGUUCUAAAGCUGAAGAAUCUAUACAAUAACUAGUUUUAUAUUUUAAAGAUUAUGAUAGUUCAUGUUUUUUAUGUAACUCCCUAAAUUCUUCAAACAUUGAAUUCCAUUAGGUUUGUUAUCAUUUGCGCAAGUUUUACUUCAAAUUGUAGUUAUAAUAGCUAUUCCAUGCUGCUCAGAUAUGACAGCGACUGAAAGUAUCUCUGCUAUCUGACCAUUUGUAUACACGUAGAGGUCACGAAUGAAGAGUACAGAUUUUAAACGCACACCUUUCUAAAACAAACAUUGAAGGGCAGACAAAUUAGGACAUUUUGACCAUGUAGCAUGAGUAAUACCGGGUAUUUACCGCUUGAUAAGAAUCAGCUUUAUAGCCCAUAUACCGAGUCUUUGUGGUUUAUGUCAGUCUAGCCUACUCGUGCGGCUUGUUAAUAUUUUUAUAGUUCAAAACAGUGAAAGUCAAAAGUUAACACACUGUAGCGAAACAUCCUAUUAUUAAGACUAUGUCAAUCCAAAUUGCCAUUUUGCAAUGGCUUGCUAAGACAAGUUGCACGAUGUUGCCAUGUUCAUAUUUGUGUACAUACCCUAUACAUCGUUCAAAGGUUCAAUAUUUACACCAAAAUGUUAUUACAAAUCACCAGUCUUUCAUUUCUACUUGAGUUAGAAUUAUUGAUUUAAGCCAUGCUCAUUUGUAUCAUGUGUUCUUUAAAGUUGCUCAAUAAACACAUUGUACGAUAUUGCUCAUUUGUAUCAUGUGUUCUUUAAAGUUGCUCAAUAAACACAUUG